rnacentral:rRNA from 1 species
AGUGAACGCUGGCGGUAGGCCUAACACAUGCAAGUCGAACGGCAGCACAGUAAGAGCUUGCUAUUACGGGUGGCGAGUGGCGGACGGGUGAGGAAUACAUCGGAAUCUACUUUUUCGUGGGGGAUAACGUAGGGAAACUUACGCUAAUACCGCAUACGACCUACGGGUGAAAGCAGGGGAUCUUCGGACCUUGCGCGAUUGAAUGAGCCGAUGUCGGAUUAGCUAGUUGGCGGGGUAAAGGCCCACCAAGGCAACGAACCGUAGCUGAUCUGAGAGGAUGAUCAGCCACACUGGAACGGAGACACGCUCCCGACUCCUCCGGGAGGCAGCAGUGGGGAAUAUUGGACAAUGGGCGCAAGCCUGAUCCAGCCAUACCGCGUGGGUGAAGAAGGCCUUCGGGUUGUAAAGCCCUUUUGUUGGGAAAGAAAAGCAGCAGGUUAAUACCCCGAUGUUCUGACGGUACCCAAAGAAUAAGCACCGGCUAACUUCGUG